rnacentral:misc_RNA from 1 species
AGUGGUCACGAAUAAUGAAAGCCAUGCCCGCAAGCUCGCUUGCAAGGGCAUGGCUUUCGUUAUUCGUGAGUGUUGCGAAGCAACACUGUUUAUAUAUCUGAGCUUGGCGACAACAUACAUCGAGAUGCCGGCAUUUGCCGGUGUCUCGAUGAGCAUA